rnacentral:rRNA from 1 species
UACGGGGGGGGCAAGCGUUGUUCGGAAUUACUGGGCGUAAAGGGCUCGUAGGCGGCCAACUAAGUCAGACGUGAAAUCCCCAGGCUCAACCUGGGAACUGCGUCUGAUACUGGAUGGCUUGAAUCCGGGAGAGGGAUGCAGAAUUCCAGGUGUAGCGGUGAAAUGCGUAGAUAUUCGGAGGAACACCAGUGGCGAAGGCGGCUCACUGGUCCGGUACUGACGCUGAGGUGCGAAAGCGUGGGGAGCAAACAGG